rnacentral:tRNA from 1 species
GGUUGUGGCUCAGUGGUAGAGUGCUUGCCUAGCAUGUGUGAGGUACUAGGUUCUAUUCUCAGCACCA